rnacentral:tRNA from 1 species
GGCCUCGUAGCUCAUCUGGUAGAGCACUCCCGGCACUGAAGCGAGCGAUGUGUACUAUGCGGUGAAUGCGUGGGUUCGAAUCCCGCCGGGGCCA